UGGAGUAACAGCAGCGAGGCCUUCUCGGAGGCAUUGUAAAUUUCACAGGAACGGGGAGGAGGAACCGUGGAACAAAUGGGAUCUUUUUCAACCUGAACCGGUUCCUGGAAGUUUUACCACUUUGAUGAGG